rnacentral:rRNA from 1 species
GUGGGAAUCUACCGUACCCUACGGAAUAGCUCCGGGAAACUGGAAUUAAUACCGUAUACGCCCUUCGGGGGAAAGAUUUAUCGGGGUAUGAUGAGCCCGCGUUGGAUUAGCUAGUUGGUGGGGUAAAGGCCUACCAAGGCGACGAUCCAUAGCUGGUCUGAGAGGAUGAUCAGCCACAUUGGGACUGAGACACGGCCCAAACUCCUACGGGAGGCAGCAGUGGGGAAUAUUGGACAAUGGGCGCAAGCCUGAUCCAGCCAUGCCGCGUGAGUGAUGAAGGUCUUAGGAUUGUAAAGCUCUUUCACCGAUGAAGAUAAUGACGGUAGUCGGAGAAGAAGCCCCGGCUAACUUCGUGCCAGCAGCCGCGGUAAUACGAAGGGGGCUAGCGUUGUUCGGAAUUACUGGGCGUAAAGCGCACGUAGGCGGAUAAUUAAGUCA